UGUUGAUGCAGAUUCUGCUGUUUCCACUCUGUUCUGCUGGCAACUUUGCAUUUAUAUCCUAUUAUUGAGUUUAUCCCUGAUUUUGCUUGUUAUCUUUUGUCUGUUCUGCUGCUUGAAGAUAAGACAUGUUUUGAUUUUAAUUCUUCUUUAUCAGGUAUAAUUAUCCUAGGAAUUUAUCAAUGCGCUGACACUCAACAGUGAACCCUAACAAUGAAGGACUAAGUCCUUUUAAGAUCAGUUCCAACAUCGGUCAUCUCCGCUGUGCCACAUUAAGAAAAAUAAAUAAGAGGAUAAAAAUAGAAAUAUUGAGCUGCCAUGACGGAAUAAGCCAUAUGUGAAGUAGUAGUAUCAGUCUUUCCAGAGAGUCCUUGAUGAAAUGGUGUCAGAGCUGAACAUCAUACAGGCCAUAUGUGGAGGCAGGCUUGGCAUGAGCAGCCAACUGGAGGGUCCGUCUGUCUUUCUUCUUGUCCCAGUAGGGGGGGCUCAGAAAGCCUAUUCCUGGCUUAAGUAUCUCCAGAAGUCCAUAUCCAACAGGGCACAGCUUGGACUUAAUAUAGACCACAUCAUACUGAACAUAUCUGUCAUUCCAAUCACAGAUGAUGAUAUGUGAAGCAAACAAAAGUGAACAGUAGUUGGUCUGAUUUAAACAUGUGAAUUUAAAAUAGAUUGUAAAUGUGGCAGCAGUUUGCAUAGAAUAAAACUGACUAAUAAUAGGCCUUUUGUCUGCGGCUUCAGUAAUAAUCAGUUGAUAUUUGAAAAUAUUGGAAAAAUGUGUUUCCUGUGUGACAUACAUGACAGUCAUGCAGUGUGCAAUGCUGACAUCAAGUGGUUGAAAAGUGAAAGUGUUGGUGCAGCUGAGAAGAAUCUUUUCACACACUUUUAACUUUGUUUAAAGUUAAAACCUAGCAGACAGUAUGAGCAUAGAUAUUCUUCCACUGGUUAUAUCAGUUUUCAUGUACUUUUUCCAAAACUGAUUUAAGUACCCAAGUAUCAUCUUUCACCUUGAAACAGGCUGAUACCUUUUUUGUGUUUCCAUCCCACUAUAAUAGUCAAAAGUGAGUAAAUAUGAACACACACACAAUGUUAAAUUGAAUGAAUAACUUUUUUUAAUGUUUUUACUUCACCUUUCAUGAUAACUGGGUUUCAGUUUGUGAGCAGAUAUGCAGCGUUUCUUGUCAGCAAGUACAUUAUUGUGAAUAAACCCCUCUCUGAAAAACACUUAGUAUAACAGGCAGGUAACACCUCCAGUCUCUCCUCUGCAUUCAUUAUGCAGUGUCAGAAUAACUGCCCCUCUUUUUGAUGAGCUGAAAACGAGUGUCUCCCCCCUGAGAAAAUGAAAGUGACCUUACAACAUUAACCUGCAGAUAGGCUGUAUUCUUUUGUAUGCUUGACUGCCACACUGACACGCAUCCCUACACAGAAGGUGCCCCGAAUCCCACUAGGUGCUUGUAUAGUCACCGGCGCAGUGUCUCUGAACACGCUGACCGAUAAAGAGCCACUGUUAUCUUCAGAUAGCAGGCGCUGCGGCUGAAUAAUUUAUGGAGGCAUUCCAACACAUUGACUCGGAAAAUGACAUACACCCGCAGAGGGCAGGGGAGUGGUAAAAGGUCCGGCAUGUGUCUCUUGAGAUGUGUGUGUGUUUCUCAGCUUUUUCUUGCUUCAAAGUGUGUAUACUUACUGAUAUGUGCUUGCAUCUCUGUAUUUCUCUUGCAUCUUGUGUCAAAUCUCUCCUACUUUGUUUGUGGGAUAAUUCCUUUUAGCUUUAGAGUUGGCGGUUAGUUUGCCACGGUUCAUUAAAGUUGUGGGAAAAAAAGAUAAACAAGGCAAGAAGUGUCUACUCUAUUCAUUCCCUUCUCCCAGGAGCUUUGUCAUUACCCAUUUAAAAAGUGCUGAACCCUUAUCCCUGCAAUAAUUAAUACAGGUGCGUAAUUAAAACAUGGUAAUGAACAAAUGCUGUGAGUGACACAGAGCUGUAUCAGCAGGAUUGUUAGGUAAGUGUCCCUCCCCAGUUUUCAUUAUCUUAGGUGACCUUUGCAGUUCAAGCUGUUGACACUCAACCAGUUGCAUCCUGGGACUGCUGAUGCUGCAGGAACCCUGGCAUACACCCAAACAGAAACCCCUGGAGUUGGAAAACGAAGCUGCCUGAUUAAAAGAGGAAAUAUGCAGUUUCUGUUUAACGUUCACCCUCUUCAAUAAAAAGCUCUUUAGUCCUCCUAAACACAUGGAAAAGAGGAUAUCAAGAGGUGCUUCAAGGUUUGCCUGAUUAGAAUUGCACUGUUUUUAUUUUACAAGGAGCUGCUGAAGAUUGUUUCUAUCUGAAAUAAGCAAUUCAUUUGAAAUUCAAUAAAACAUUGCAAAAACCGUUUUCUAUCUUGAAACAGUUUGCUGAAACUCUUUACCGAGGGGUCUGCAAGCCAAGGUCAUGCUAACUUAUAUAGCUCACUUACUUCAGCCAGUAAAAUAAAAACAGAUCUAAACUGAGCAAGAGUGUGGAGGGAGAUUUGAAAGGUUUAAAAAAUAUACAGUGCCCAGCAUUACUCAGUACACCCCCAAAGCAAAAGUACAAUUUCCAAAGUUUCGACAAAGCUGAGAUUAACAUAACAUUUUAUUUACCAUAAAAUGAAAUUAAGGGUGAUAUGGUAACUAAAAUUUAGCAUUGUUCCCAGAACUUUUAUGUACUAAUUUUGCAUCCUUAUUUUAAAUUGAAAAACAACUUUUUUGUAUGCAACUUAAAAGAUCUUGUUUGCAAUCAAUGGCCUACAUUUGUGGGAGUAUUUUGUUGUAUCGUAGUCUGACAUAGAAAAUGUUGAUUUUGAAAGGAAACUAAAGGUUUUCUGACAACUCUGAAGUGCUGUACUAUUUUAUGCUGAGCACUGUAUAUUUUUAGUGUUAAGUCAACAGGAGGUAUGGAUGGAAAACCUGACAAAUACACAUCUUUAAACUGUGACACUUUGUACCAAAUAGCCACAUCUGAUUUAAGUGCUUCUUAGUUAGUUAGGUAAACACAGACAGAGGUCCUCUUAGAGUGUAGAGUUUGAUGAAGAAGUAACAGACACCCUCUCUUCUCUAAAUCUGACCUUGUCUUGCUCACAGCUACUACGAGAUUACCUAUCAGAUUACUUAGUCACGUUUCAAAAGGCUAUUUUAUCGAUUCCAACUCAGCCGAGUGAAUAAGUGUACAACCGCUGUUUCCGCAAGGCUACCAUUAUGGAGCUCUCGUGUUUCAGUAAGAAAAUAGAUCAAGGAUAUACUUUUACAAGAUGAGACAUCACCAAGUUCAGCCCACAUCUUCUUUCUUUAAAUACUGCAUUGCAGUUUGUUUAACCCUCAGGGCUGUUUCCCCCCAUGCAUUCAGCUAAUUUUAGCUGCCACUUUGGAGGACAAGGUCACAGUGGGUGUGGGAGAAAUUAGGCAGUUGAAGUGUGUGCUUGUGCUUGUGCUUGUGUGUGUGAAACAGCCUAGACACACACAGUUCAGUGCAUCUUCUGUCUGGCACUGCAGUGACUACCAACUGACCCACUAACACUGAACCUCAGGGUUUCUGACCGCUGUGACAUGGGAGCUGGAAAAAGAAGAUGGCAUUGGGGCUUAUUUCAAGCUGUUGCAGCAGAGAAUAAUGAGCGCUGUGAUUUAUGGCUGUAACUGGUGACAGCAUCUUCGCAGGGUUCUGCAGGGGAUGUGAUGCUGCUGUUGUGUGCUGUGUUUAAAGUUUCACUGGAGGUGGGUUUGGGUGAGGCAAUGACUGUAAAAAGUUUGGAAAUCUCAAAAAGUUGAGUUUCCCUUUUUUUGUUGUUUUUUAAUUGCUUUAUUUAUGCAUUUAUUAUUAUCAUCAUUAUUAUUAACGGACUGACAGUGCAGAAAAAUGUGUUUAUUUAGUGUUAGGCUUUGAUACAUUUGGUAAAUGAACAUAUUUAUAACUUCAUCUAUCUUAAUUUAGCUUGAUGAGAUUAACAAUCUCUUAUAUAUUAUGCAUUUUAUUACAACCUCUCACAGCAGUUUCUUGUGUACCUAAAUAACUUCCUUCAUUUUGUAAAGAUUAGACACCUGAGAGGCUCCACUCAUCCGCAGCAUCCCAAAGCAUCAACUUUACACUCUAGUCGUGAACGUAAUUAGUGAGUUCUUACUAAUGUGGAAAGGUGGAAAUGAAGAUACUAAAUUCAUGUUAUGUUGCUCAUCCUCUGUGUUUGCAGUGGGGAAUGGCCUCUAUAUAUAUAAUGGCUAUUGUCUUAUUGGUUAAAGCAGACCCGGGCAUUUCACAGCCCGAGGGCCACAUCCGGCCCCCUGGAUGUCCCUGCCCAGCCCUUCCUAAACAUGCUAUCCAAGUGUGUUGCUUUUAUUUUGAAAACCUAGUGGUGGUUUUAUUUCCGUUUGGACGCACGUGUGUACCUCCGAGAUCUGCAUUCGUGAACAGGGAUAAGUUUAAACAUUGUUGAAAUAUACGUAGAUGCCUUAUAGAUGCUCAUUCCGCUUAGACUUUAGGCCUUUUUACAGUUCAGGUUUCUCAUAUGGCCCCAUUUCAAAAUUCAUUUCCCACCCCUAAGUUAAAGGGUUUAUGGAAAUGCCGUGCUCCAUCAGAGUGAAUCUGUUGUUGUCUUCCAUCUUUGAAACCAAAAGUUUUUAGUCCUCCUGAAACUUUUUUCCCUGUGAACUUUCUACAACUCAGUGGAGAUGAGCCCAUAUAUCACUUUUGACCUUAACAGGAGAAGAGGAUGUGUAUUUGUGGAAGGAUCUGCAAGGUACAGUCAUGCUAGACUGGUUUAAAAUCUAACUGCAUUGAGUUUCAGGCGAUGUAGAGUGUUGCAGGGGGAGAAACUAGACCGUCUCGACUCAGAGACAAAAAGUAAAAAUCAAAACAGCAGUUUCCUGCAGCCCAAGUGUUUUAUUUAAUCACAGAGACAUUGAAUAAAACUGGAAUUAAGUACAAGACCUUUCAAGUUCUCAGUUAUUUAAUGUGCAUAAUUUGAAAGGGCAGCACAUUAUUGCAAACACACGACCGAAAAUGUAAAUCCGAUGACAUUUUAAAAGAUGAGAUCCAAGAAAAGACCUGUGCUAAAAUAUAAAUGACAUGAUAAUGCCUUUAAUUAUUCAGGCAAAGGUGGCGUUUUGUUUGUGUGUGGCUUUGGGCUGUUGUUGUGUCUUUGUUUACAUGUGUAUGAUGAAUAAUGCUGUGCUCUGUAAGCAAGCUUAUAUGCCGGCAGAUGUAACAUCACCUGAGGACAGUUUGAAUGGAAAUGUAGUCGGUGCGGUUCUUCCUCUGCUGCCUUUUAAACGUGCUCCUCUGUUUUCACUUAGACCACAACAAGUGAACCAAACUUGAAAUAAUCCAUGACAAUACAAAGAGUAAUAACUAUCUUACUCAGAACAGGUCACAUCUUCUCCUAAUCACCGUUAUAUGACUGUUACAUUGGAAGAGUGUUUUAUUCUUACAACUCUGAAUCCACUUACACAAUUUGGCUGUUUAAAUUGAUUUUUGAAGACAUUACAGUAAAUUCCUCAUAUCAAUAAAUGAUCAAAUCAGAUGAAUAACAAUUAAGCUAGGUAACGGACACCGCAAGCUCGGUAAUGUGUCUCGAACACAAACCGCAUAGCACCGAUCAGUCUACAUUCAGCUGCUAAUGUAUGCGGAUUAUGUUUCAGUUAUUUUUCAUUGGCUGAGAUGAGCAGGACAGAAGAUCGUGAAUGUGUGAUAGGAGAGGAAGAGUCCUCUACAAACCCCCAAACAACAUCCAGCGUAGUAUCAUACUUGCAUAAUGCUGAACGGGCGCUUCUCCAGAACUCUUGGUUGAGAUGCCAUGAAACCAGCUUACAUAUAAAUGUAUAAUUCUCAUUAGAAAACUUUUCUUCCAAGACUCUCCUGAUUUCUUGAACACAUUUAUGCAAAAAAACUCAAUAACAAAAGACUUACUUUACUCCUGAUGGUUUUACACUGCCUGUUUGUGGAUUUGGAGGGAUGGUAGCUGAUAAUAAACUACAUCUUUAACCAUGUGUGUGAGUGAUAUGCACACUGGGGCAUUGACAACGAAUGAUAUUCUAACACUGGAUUUUAACAAGUGCAAUUAGGCCUUUGCUAAUCAUACCCUUUGCUAUUAUUGCAAACAAGCUUCAACUAUUUAAUUUGACAUUUAGCUGUUUCAUAACAAUUUGUUAGUCAUUACUGUUUUUUCUGAAGUUGCAGGAUUUCUUAGAGAGAGUUGGGGAAUAAUUCUUUGUGUGAUUUUACUACCACUGACCCUCUUUAAUAAGUCAUUUCGCUCACCCUUACAAUUUUAUAUCUGGCUUCAAAGUCAACCGUACCCGCCUAGAAUUUACUAGAAUUGAACUGUGGUUGUUUUGAAUCUCAAUGAGCAGCGGUUGGCUUCCUGAAUAUGAAUUAUUCAGUGUAUUGAGGACAAAGCUUUCAAGCCCUCUUCCUCGGGAUAAUCAUGUACGUCGGGGCUGUGCUCACCUAACAAGUGUUACCAAAGAAUCCAUAUUACCGUAACAACGCCACCAAUCUGUUAGCAAACUGGCGUGUCUGUCGUCCUGCUGGGAAAGGAUGGCUCUAUUCCCGGCUCUCUGUCCUGGGCCCCCCUUUGUCUUCUCAGGUACAGAAUAUGUUGCACUCAUCUCAGGGGAAGCAAUUAGAUAUAGCUCUGCUGUCUCCCCUUAAGCACAACCAUCUAUCACCACACACCAGUUAAUGCUAUGUGCAUUUAAAUAGAAGCCUGUUUUGUACAUGGGGACAAAUCAUUUGCAUGCGACGUAUGUAAAUUUACACUUACAGGAUGUCCUCUUAUAAAUGGUAGAAUUGCUUUAACCAGUGUGCUGUGGUAGAUGCAUCAUUUUAACCUAUAUACCUGAGGACAUUGUUUAAAGUGGUGCAAAAUACUCCCUCCUCAUUUUACUAAUCUAGCGCAUUAUUUCUACCUGCAACAAGGUGUCCUUUUACUGACUUCAGCGCCUGUCUGCUUAAUUAAAGUUAUUUUAAAAAGUCAAGUUACACAGAGAUCAGAGGGCAGGGUCAGGGACAGGGCAAGGCUUCUGAAGUUUCUUGGGUACUUCUCUUACACAUCCCAGCCAAGUGUAGGUGUGCUGACUCAUGUUUAAACCUUUUUUAAUCUGUCUUUACCGCAGUUGUCCUUGAUCUUAGUCCGGACAGUCAAGAUCAUCCCAGUCAAAACAACAACUUCUGUUCCCUGUCUCAUUUUUCUUUCCAUACAGAGAGGUCUGUGCUCUUACUCUUCGAAACUUAACAAAAUGAGUCAAAUGAAUCUUUCUGUUAUGAAAGAUGUUAGCAGUAAAUGACCCAUCCUAAACUGGAACAAAUCUGCUGUCAUGUUUUAGAAACUUUGUGCAAACUCUAAUCUUUAAUCUAUAAUCUAGACUGAAAUUAACACAACACAAUUCAGCUGAUUGGAUAAAGAACUGACAAGAGACACAAUAUUUUCACAGUACAAAUGUGCAGUUUGAGAUUAAUAGUGUCACACUCAUCAGUGCACAGUAUUUUUGGUUGUAAUAACACCCAGUAUGCUGCAGGUGUAUUCUUGGGUUGUAUAUGACUGUUUUUAAAAGUGCAGCCCUGAUGAUGUUGGAUGCGGUGGCAUGGGGCUAGUAUGAAGUACUAGGAAAACAUGAUUCAAGAUAAGUACUUUAAAUAUCAAAUCAAAUCAAACUUUAUUUAUAGAGCACCUUUCCUACAUGAAUGUGACUCAAAGUGCUUUACAAGUUAAAAACAAAAACAAAAAACUGUCCCAGAUGCCCCCUUACCCCCCACCCUAACCCUCCACCUACACACACACACACACACACACACACACGCACGCCAACGCACUCGCACAUACACACAUAGAGACAAUGGGCAUGAGGCUGAGUGCAGAUGAACCAGUUGAGAAGUCGUAUAAACAUAACUACAGAAUAAACAUAUCAUGUUUCAAAUGUACAGUACUUUUGCUUUAAUCAGUAGGAUUAUAUUCACAAACUGACAUAAAUAUUUUUGAUGAAUUGCUUUGAUAGAGGCCUGUCUAGUGGUUAUUUUUUUAAAUUGAAACCAUUGUGGUCUGAAAUCAUAAUUGAGUGGUAGGAGACAGUGUUUAUUCCAUGAAUUAGAGUAUUAUUUUAAAAAUCUUUAUACGCUUUUUGGACUUUCACAGUCGCACAGAGCAGAAAAAGUGGUGAGGGGCCAAUUGGAAAAAAUUGGUUGGAAUAAAAGGGGCCCUUGUUGUUGUUUGCAUAAUAGUUAGCAUUGAAAGGCAUUUUGAUAGUUUAAAAACUAACUAAGUAGGGUUUAUGAAUCUCUGGGAGCUUCUUGUCCUCCAAUACAAGCAUUGUUUAGAUGAUGGGGAGGGGUGAGCAAGGGAGCAUUUAAAUCUAGAUUCUGAUUGCUAGAUAUUCCCUUUUCCUCACAUUGUACCUUUAAAGUGAAAUAUGCCAUCAAGAGGCACAAGGGUGAGUUUUUUAUCCACAACUAUAGGAAAUCAAUGAAAAGGAAAUAAUUUGCAAAUUUUGGACCUUAAUCGCAUCAGUAUUACCACAGACAGCCAUAAUUCUGCUUGGAGUGAGUCUCACAGAGCUUCGUGAGCAGGACUCUCAUUGGACAUUUUUUUCUUCUAACUUGUCUCUGAUGCCAAACAUGGCAUUGCAAAAGAUCAAGUGAGAAUAAGUUGCCAUGGCGUUUUAACCCCAAAAUAAGUUAGCUGAGCUGUAAAAAUAAUCCCUGAGUUGACCCUGAAUUAACUUUGGUAACUACAGCUGUGCGUAAUGCUACAGGGCCCUGCAGUACUAGAAUAAGAAGUGCAGUAUAUAGUUAGUUGACUUGCUAUAAAAACUGUGAUUUUGCAGCCUUGACAACUUAAAAAAACACUUUCAGAAUUGUGAUGCUGCUCAUUUGUCAUUAGUUGGGGAUCUAAAUUGGCGUUUGUGUUAAAGGCUUCCAUGCUUUACAGGACGCUCAAGGAGGACAAUCAAAGGGAUCUACUGUUAGUGUCGUCAGCAGCCUCACUGACUCUUCUCGUCCCCUGAGACUUGACUCAAACAUGUGCAUGGUCCUCUACCUUUAGGCAAGAGCCAGCGAGUCUCCCCCUCUCUCCCUCCCUCGCUCCCUCUGCUUCAUAGAGCGGUCCUCUUCACAUCCCUCUCCCUCCUCCUCCUCCUCCUCCUCCUCUCCCUCAUCCCACCCUCUUUCACACUCUGUUGAUCGGCUCAGCAAAGGGAAAGUGGCUGUGUGAAACCUGAGGAUCACUUGCAGACUGAGGAAGCAGAGAGAGAGCGUUCACAGCGUGUUUGAACCUUCAAGGUAAGACAGGACAAAUGACAGCAGUAAGCCUUUCUCCUGGAUGUCGAUUUUUGUGCAAUGAAGGAUAUAAAUUUGAAGGAAAAAAAAAUCUAGAGCCAUCACAGAGGAUUGUGGAGUGACUUGUGAUCUCUUGAUGUCUUAAACUUCUGCUCUUGUAACGGGACCUCAGAGGGGUUUGUAAUUCUAGUACUGAAUAGAGUAGAGUAUCGUAAGGUGAUGUUUUAUUUAGUGUCAUAAAACCUUGUUUGUUUUACUUUGUGGUGAUGAUCAGUAUAUUUGCUGCCAUUAUUUUGAAUCUAGUAGCAUAAGGCAGUCUAUAGAAUCGCUAAUGCUAGUUUUAUUCAGGGUGUCUGCCAUGUGUAUUGACUUUUUUUCGUGCCAUCCCAGGUCCAAGGAUGGCUGUGAGAAUAACUUCUCAAUGCAAUAGCUCAGGACGUAUAAGAUGAACAUUUUCUAGCUCUUAAAGGGCAAGCUGAAAGGUCUCGCAUCUCAUUAUAGUUGUGCAUAACUCGGGGAAGAAAACACCCCAAAUUAGCAUAUGUUCUCAGGUGGAUUGCUUGAGCUUGUGACAGUUUGUUUUGCACGCUGCUGUAGUUGUAGCUAUUUAUGCUUCAGUGUUCACCAGAGGUUGUUACGGGGUCGUCAUUUUAAUCAUGGGGCUAAUAAUACUCACAGCUGUGUUUCAAUAUUGAUCACAAACUAUGGAAAGUUUUCAGAGUACAAAGAUUGUAUUAGGAGAGAAUUUUCUUUCUCAAAGUUCCCAGAAAUAACGCAUCUCGAAUUAGAGAAGUUCCAGUCAUGUGCUCACCAAACAAGAGGGCCCAGUGGAGGGAGGACCUGCAGCAUUUCCGUAAAGAACACGGCUUCUCCAAGAAAGUCCUGCUCAACUGCUGCCUGGUGCGACGGAUCAUCACCUGGGCCUCCCCAACUCCCAAAGGUCAGAGCCAGACUCGCUAUCUGUUGUUCCCAGGUUUGUCUGAAGAGUGGUUUCAAAAGACUACCUGGCAGAUUUUGGCUUCAGCUUCGGGUUACUUUUGUUUUCUUUGAAAGAAUGACGAAUUAGGGAUGUCUUGUGCAUUUAGAUAAGGCAUGUACAGUGACAGUGUGGGGACUUUUAGUUGCGUUUGUUGCAGCACAAGAGACAAAAGCUGUCUUCUUAAUGUGAAAAAGUUCUCCUUGUUGUCCUAUAUAGCAGAAGUGGUUGUUGAACUAAGGCCAGCAAAAGCUUUCAGAAGUGCAACUUUUUUUUUUUUUUUAAUCAGUCUUGAUGUAUUUGGUCCAAGCUGACUUUGGCAGUGUUAUACCCAAGGUGGAUUGCAAGGGAAAACAAAAUGAAUGCUUGGUCAAAAUGUGUUUAAGUCGGAGCCUUAAGUUUCACAGAAUUUGUUUUUCUACAAGUCAAGCCGCAAACAAAAGCCACCCAAAUACAGUCAAGAGAGAGCUUUUAUCAGGGUUACUAAGGGGAUGUCAUCUCCAGACACACAGGUUUGCAAUACUCGUAGUGCAGGAUGCACUGUAAGAGACUAAAGUGCAUAAACGAAUUACACAUAGUGUAUUUGAGAUUCAAUUGAACAGUAACUUCAUAUCCUCAUCAAAUGUUUUAUUAACCUUAGACUAAAUCAGCAGUGGGCAGCAGAAUACACUCGGACCAAAAAACGGUAAAGGUUCCCGUCAAACAUAUUAAUGCUGUAUUGAUCAGCAAUUCCUUCACCAUACAGGCUCGCCAGAAUUUAUGACUUUUCUGGAAUGAGAAAUGAUCCAAACUCACCGCACCACAAGUCACAGCCGACAGCUCGGGUAAAUUAAUUCACUUUGAACCCCGAUCGGUAUUGAUUACAUCUCGGGUUAUUCACAAUGGCCUCAUAGCCUUAUGAAAUAGAGCGUGUGGUGUCUGGUCAGGCCUCUGUAAGAGCACACAUAUAUCAGGUGGUAAAAUAGAGAGGGAAAUCAUGGCGGCAUUUCACAUGUAGAGAUAAACAAGCUUUAGUUUAACCUCUUUGGAGAGGAAGUAAAAUGUAAAAACUGAGUUUGACCUCCAAGUAAACAACAGAUUAAAAGGUCUGUAAAAAUGUGCUGAGCCGCAGUUGUUAAGUGACUAGUUAAUUCAAGGAGUGCAAAUAAUGAUUGCAUUUAUUUCCUCGUUUGUUUUUAAAGUUGUUGUUUUGUUACACUUCUUUAGUUUCUAUAAUUGUAAGUAGAGAGACAUGUCAAGCAUCACCAUCAAAAUCACAGUUUUUGUAUAAUUGGCAGGUGCUGUUCCACACUGAUAUGCCUUGUCGGAUAAAUUAGUUCUGUUUGGAUGAUUAAGAUGCGAUUAAACAGUCAUGAACAUCACUGUAGGGACUGACUGAGUUACAUCUGCAGUGAGCAUUUUUUCUGCGGGGGAAAAACAACAACAAAAGGAACCCAAAACAGCUGCUGUUGUUGUCAUGAACAAGAGAAAAUAGAUGAUGCAUAAUCAUCUCUUGUGAGAAACAGAAGUUUUUCUUUAAUUUCAUAUCUAUUACCCAGGUGAGAUGCAGGCAGGUGCAGUUUCCAGAUCACAAAAUUAGUUUACGUUCUUGUCUCUUUUUUUCCUGUUUGUACAUUUCAACAAUCACAGUUGUCAUUUGGAUGCAUCCUCAAAAUAACACGCAUGCUCCCGCCUGGGAUGGAGCCACGCCAGGACUCAGGUGUUUCUGUCAGGCAUAUUUGAAUUAGUCAGAGCGUUUGUUCAGACUUUCAUUCCUUUCAGCGCUGCUUUGUUAUUUGAAACGUUCUGCCUCUAUCCCAGGGCAGGCUGCUUCUUCAUACCACCUUAAGUUAAAGCCUGAGACAAAAACAGAAACAAAAGUGCGAACUGCAAAUGGAAAGACGGUUUAUUUAUUUAUUUUUUAACAUUAACACUGCAGCAAUUAGCUUUCAAACCUUUAUUUAUGCAUGGAAUAAAACCUUUAAUGCUAAACACCUCAGCUCCCGGAGGCUUGAAUAGAUACAUUAAGAAAAUCAUGAAUUAAACAACACUUAUAAACGCAGAUUUAAAAAUUUAAUAGCUCAUUUGGACUGCAAGUUUCUUCACCCAGCAUAUUUAUGUCCCACUGUGAUUUUGCCAUUAGGUGGCGUCUCAAACCAACAGUUUUAUGCCCGGAGUCGCCCAGAAUAACCUCCCAGCAUGCAGAUGAUGACUCUUUAGCCUGCCAGGUGGCAGUCGAGCCUUCCGGAUGUUGGAGCAGUCUCCAGAAAAUGAACACGCUCUCCAAAGCAGGUGUUUCUAGAAAUACACGAGCCCCAUGUUGUGUCCUCAGGACAGACGUCUGCUCUAAGGGAGCGUUUUACAAACCCCUGCUGUCUUUAUGACGCACUCUGACAGCUCAGUUAUAUCCGCUGAGGGAAAAUAAGAAGAUAGAGUAUGGUAUGUGAAAUACUCUCUCUGUUUUUGAUUGAGUAGUCAUCACCCACUAUUAUAAAAUUUACAGUUCACUUUUUUUCCUUUUUGCACAUUACAUGGAUUAAGUGCGGCACUCUUCUCAUACAGGAGAUCAGAGAAACUCUUUAUUUUGAACCCUUUCUUAUAGACAUACUCACACAUUUGAGAGUUGAAUUUCUUCUCCGCCCCAAACCUGGUUUUAGUGGAAUGUGUUAAAAAUAUAACCCGCAGUUUCAUUUUUUAACAUUAUGCUUGAAACCCAUUACUGUAUGUCACCAUUACUGCCAGCAGAGGGCAGCAAGCAACAGAAUAAAUCAGUGUCUUUCAUGAUGCACUGUUUGCAGUAUACAGAUCAGUCUCUGCUUGAUUAAUUUCUAAUCUUAUUUGAAUGAAAUUGAAUAAUUUUAUCGGGUUAUGACAGUAUGAUUCAGCAUCUUAUCUAUCUGUGGCACUGUGAUAUUGAGCAGGUUUAUAAAGGGCGAUGCUGAUUUACUGUGAUUGUUUACUACCUUUAUAUAUGAGCGUGGGCACAGUAUCAACACCAGUACAGCCCCUUUUAAUCCAAAACAACAACAACCCUUUAGUCCCUUGAACGCAUCACGUGUCUUAAUACUCAGGUUUGUGAUACUGUGUCAUAAAUUCAGUGAAUGUCUGCACUGCAGCAGCAAUUCAGUGGCCCCAAAUGCACUCACUGUAGCCAAGCGGAUGCUCUGUUCAUGAUGACAUGACGGCACAAUAUUGAAUCAUGAUUUUCAUGGAUAUAUGUACACGGAUCCUCCACUCACAGUCUGCGUCACUAUAGGACAUCAGCUUCUUUCUGUUUCAUUCAGAGCAUUUGCUCUUUUUCCUUUCUGUCUGUUUUAUUGUGAAAUGAAAAGAUGUUGAACGCACUGACCUUCAUGCAUCAUUUCAAACACAGCGUACAGUAUUUCUGAACAGAAAAUCUACAGUGCAGUGCUAUUUAAAUCCCAUCUUAUCCUGUGCACCUUUACAUUCCCUGGGAAAUCCUUCCCUCAGAUGUCUGCUGGAUCAAUAAAGCUUUUGACAAGCAAUUUGGAUGUGCUAUAUCCCAAUUCUUCUUAUAUAAAUCCACUUACAUCUCCCUCUGUUCUCCAUAGAGACUACCAUCUGUGGCAGAAUCCCACCUUCUUCAUCCUGCAUUUCAGAGCUAUGUCCUUCAAACAGCACAUGGCCUGAAAAUUGAUUUGCCGUCUGUUUUGGUCCAUGACAACAGUAAUGAAUCCUCAUGUGGAAGUUGGCCAUUGCAUGUGCUUCUCAAUUUAUUCUCUUCAACAGAUGGAAACUUCUAGCUUGUCCAAUUUUACCCAUAUAUAUUGAGAUGUUUUCUUUUACGUCACUGCAUCUCCUCGCUGAUUUGAAUUUAAUUGCCCAGAGUUUGAUCCCAGUGUGAUAUCACAUCCAGCAGUCAGACAUCAUGGGGAGAAGUAUUGCUGGAAGGACCCUUAAACCUUGAGAUAUAAUAUGAGUCACUGUGGUGCUCUUUUCUUGAGGAAAUGUUAAAUAUCAUUAAGACAGUCCUGGGGUGUAUAUUCA